CGAAAGCCUGACGGAGCAAUACCGCGUGAGGGAUGAAGGCCUUUGGGUUGUAAACCUCUUUUAUCAAGGAGGAAGUUCUGACGUGUACUUGAUGAAUAAGCAUCGGCUAACUCCGUGCCAGCAGCCGCGGUAAGACGGAGGAUGCAAGUGUUAUCCGGAAUUACUGGGCGUAAAGCGUCUGUAGGUGGUUUGGUAAGUCAACUGUUAAAUCUUGAGGCUCAACUUCAAAACAGCAGUCGAAACUAUCAGACUAGAGUAUAGUAGGGGUAAAGGGAAUUUCCAGUGGAGCGGUGAAAUGCGUAGAUAUUGGAAAGAACACCGAUGGCGAAGGCACUUUACUGGGCUAUUACUAACACUCAGAGACGAAAGCUAGGGUAGCA
rnacentral:rRNA from 1 species